GCCUGGGUGGCUCAGUUGGUUGAGUGUCCGACUUCGGCUCAGGUUAUGAUCUCACAGUUAGUGGGUUUGAGCCCCACAUCAGGCU
rnacentral:tRNA from 1 species